rnacentral:rRNA from 1 species
UGCUGUUUCGCUGACGAGUGGCGGACGGGUGAGUAAUGUCUGGGAAACUGCCUGAUGGAGGGGGAUAACUACUGGAAACGGUAGCUAAUACCGCAUAAUGUCGCAAGACCAAAGAGGGGGACCUUCGGGCCUCUUGCCAUCGGAUGUGCCCAGAUGGGAUUAGCUAGUAGGUGGGGUAACGGCUCACCUAGGCGACGAUCCCUAGCUGGUCUGAGAGGAUGACCAGCCACACUGGAACUGAGACACGGUCCAGACUCCUACGGGAGGCAGCAGUGGGGAAUAUUGCACAAUGGGCGCAAGCCUGAUGCAGCCAUGCCGCGUGUAUGAAGAAGGCCUUCGGGUUGUAAAGUACUUUCAGCGGGGAGGAAGGGAGUAAAGUUAAUACCUUUGCUCAUUGACGUUACCCGCAGAAGAAGCACCGGCUAACUCCGUGCCAGCAGCCGCGGUAAUACGGAGGGUGCAAGCGUUAAUCGGAAUUACUGGGCGUAAAGCGCACGCAGGCGGUUUGUUAAGUCAGAUGUGAAAUCCCCGGGCUCAACCUGGGAACUGCAUCUGAUACUGGCAAGCUUGAGUCUCGUAGAGGGGGGUAGAAUUCCAGGUGUAGCGGUGAAAUGCGUAGAGAUCUGGAGGAAUACCGGUGGCGAAGGCGGCCCCCUGGACGAAGACUGACGCUCAGGUGCGAAAGC